rnacentral:rRNA from 1 species
AACUGCGAAUGGCUCAUUAAAUCAGUUAUAAUUUAUUUGAUAGUGCCUUACUACUUGGAUAACCGUGGUAAUUCUAGAGCUAAUACAUGCUAAAAGUCUCGACUUCGGAAGAGAUGUAUUUAUUAGAUAAAAAACCAAACUCUUUUAGAGUGCUGGUGAUUCAUAAUAACUUUUCGAAUCGCAUGGCCUUGCGCCGGUGAUGGUUCAUUCAAAUUUCUGCCCUAUCAACUUUCGAUGGUAGGAUAGCGGCCUACCAUGGUUUUAACGGGUAACGGGGAAUUAGGGUUCGAUUCCGGAGAGGGAGCCUGAGAAACGGCUACCACAUCCAAGGAAGGCAGCAGGCGCGCAAAUUACCCAAUCCCGACAUGGGGAGGUAGUGACAAUAAAUAACAAUACAGGGCCUUUACAGGUCUUGUAAUUGGAAUGAGUACAAUUUAAAUCUCUUAACGAGGAACAAUUGGAGGGCAAGUCUGGUGCCAGCAGCCGCGGUAAUUCCAGCUCCAAUAGCGUAUAUUAAAGUUGUUGCAGUUAAAAAGCUCGUAGUUGAAUUUUGGGUUUGGCCGAUUGGUCCGUUCUUGUAACGAGUACUGGUCGGUUGGGCCUCACCGCUUGGUGAUGCGUAAUGUCCUUUAUUGGGUGUUGCGAGUAGCCAAGACCUUUACCUUGAAAAAUUAGAGUGUUUAAAGCAGGCAUAUGCCGGAAUACAUUAGCAUGGAAUAAUAGAAUAGGACAACGAUUCUAUUUGUUGGUUCUAGGACGUUGUAUGAUUAUAGGAAUAGUUGGGGCAUUAGUAUCAUUGUCA